rnacentral:rRNA from 1 species
AUGGGGCUAGAGGAACGAGAAGAGGAACGAGAAGCAGCAGAUCGCAGCAAACGACCUGUCGAAGCUUCCCCCGAAGCUACCCCACCAUCUCAGCGGAGAAGCAGCGUGGCUUCCAUCGAGCUGCUUCAGCCGGAGCAUGUCUUGACGGCUCCAGCCAGCUAUCCCGUGGAUGCUAUCACGGAGUCUCAAAAUUGCCACAUUAUGGCGCGAUGGAUGAAUUUGAAGGUCAAGGCAGCUGUUGGCUCUGUUUAUCCCACUGGACCCGGAGCAACUUAUCACUGCCGGCCGCUUCCAGAAGGAUAUGCUAGGGUGAUGGUGGAUGAAAUAACGAAGGGAUUUGAGGACCUCCUGCUUGACCACCCUACCAGUGAAGGGGAGACUAGGCUGGGUUCUGCUCUGAAGACUCCAUGCCUAUGGCGGAAGGAGCUCAUCAACCUUCCGAACUGGACGCCUCGGCCUCCUCCUCCUCCUCCGAUGACGAGUCAGGGCACUCCGCCUCCUCCGCCGCCUCCUCCUCCUCCUCCGGUGAGUCAGGGCACUCUGCGUCCUCCACCGCCUCCUCCUCCGGCGAGUGAUGAUCAGGGCACGCGUGGCGGCAGUCCGCCUCCUUCUCCGGCGCGUGGCGGCACUCCGCCUCCUUCUCCGGCUGCGCCGGCGAUCCCGAGCAGCCAACAGCCUCCUCCUUCUCCGCCUCGCCAGCAAGGGCGGAAGAGACCCUCCGCCGCCCCGGCUGCUCCGGCGCGUCAUACUCCUUCUCCUCCGCCUCGUAAGCAAGCACGAAAGAAGACAGACGCCACAGUCGCUCCGUCUGCUCCGGAGGCAAUACAGAUACGGUCCUCCUCUCAAGCCUCUAGAGAAGUUACCGUACGAGAGGACCGAGGAGGAAAACGAUACGAUCGUGCGGACCCACGUGAAGGAGUUCUUUGA